rnacentral:rRNA from 1 species
GACGAACGCUGGCGGCGUGCUUAACACAUGCAAGUCGAACGGAAAGGCCCUGCUUUUGUGGGGUGCUCGAGUGGCGAACGGGUGAGUAACACGUGAGUAACCUGCCCUUGACUUUGGGAUAACUUCAGGAAACUGGGGCUAAUACCGGAUAGGAGCUCCUGCUGCAUGGUGGGGGUUGGAAAGUUUCGGCGGUUGGGGAUGGACUCGCGGCUUAUCAGCUUGUUGGUGGGGUAGUGGCUUACCAAGGCUUUGACGGGUAGCCGGCCUGAGAGGGUGACCGGCAACAUUGGGACUGAGAUACGGCCCAGACUCCUACGGGAGGCAGCAGUGGGGAAUAUUGCACAAUGGGCGGAAGCCUGAUGCAGCAACGCCGCGUGCGGGAUGACGGCCUUCGGGUUGUAAACCGCUUUCGCCUGUGACGAAGCGUGAGUGACGGUAAUGGGUGAAGAAGCACCGGCUAACUACGUG